GUCAGGUGUGGUGGCGCAUGCUUGUAAUCCUAGAAGCUUGGGAGGCUGAAGCAGGAGGAUCUCAAGUUCAAAGCUAGUCUCAGCAAUUUAGUGAGGCCCUAAGCAACUCAGUGAGACCCUGUCUCUA
rnacentral:sRNA from 1 species